GUGAGGAAUAUUGGUCAAUGGACGGAAGUCUGAACCAGCCAUGCCGCGUGCAGGAAUAAGGUCCUAUGGAUUGUAAACUGCUUUUAUUUGGGAAUAAACCUCUUUACGUGUAGGGAGCUGAAGGUACCGAAGGAAUAAGCACCGGCUAACUCCGUGCCAGCAGCCGCGGUAAUACGGAGGGUGCAAGCGUUAUCCGGAAUCAUUGGGUUUAAAGGGUCCGCAGGCGGGCUAUCAAGUCAGAGGUGAAAUCCCACAGCUUAACUGUGGAACUGCCUUUGAAACUGAUGGUCUUGAAUUAAGUGGGCGUUGGCGGAAUAUGACAUGUAGCGGUGAAAUGCAUAGAUAUGUCAUGGAACACCGAAAGCGAAGGCAGCUAACGAUACUUAUAUUGACGCUCAUGGACGAAAGCGUGGGUAGCGAACAGGAUUAGAAACCCUUGUAGUCC
rnacentral:rRNA from 1 species